rnacentral:rRNA from 1 species
GACGUAGGGCGCGAGCGUUGUCCGGAUUUAUUGGGCGUAAAGAGCUCGUAGGCGGCUCGUUGCGCCGGCUGUGAAAACCCGCAGCUCAACUGUGGGCUUGCAGCUGAUACGGGCGGACUGGAGGCCAGUAGGGGGAUGCGGAAUUCCGGGUGUAGUGGUGGAAUGCGUAGAGAUCCGGAGGAACACCAGCGGCGAAGGCGGCAUCCUGGACUGGUCCUGACACUCAGGAGCGAAAGCGUGGGGAGCGAUCCGG